UGGGUCACUUUUAGUCAUCCUGAUGUAUUGU
rnacentral:piRNA from 1 species